rnacentral:tRNA from 1 species
CGGUGACCCGGGCGCGGGCGGCCCGGCCGCUCCCCGCGCCCCGCCGGGCGGGCACGGACCCGGGGUCCGGCACCCCGGUCACUGCC